CAAAUAUAAUAAUUAAGAGCUCGAGUAGGUGUGAGCAAUGAAGGUUUCAGAGGGACAAAAGGGUGGUGGAGGGAGCGGUUACUAAUUCUGAAAUUCUUGGCUUAAAAGUGGUAACUUUGUUUAAAAAUUGAUGCAGGGAGGGGACCCAAAAUGCAGAAAGACAUAAGGGUAACAACUUCAAAAUUGUACAAUGGAAGAGAUCAUUGAUGGUCCCGAAAGUUAAAGUUUGGCAGCUUGGAGUUGUCCCAUGUGUGUACCACAAAAAUUAUCUUCAAAGAGGGUGGUCCAUCAGAAAAAGAUUCAAGAAUAAAAGAAAGAAAGAAAAUGUUUAUAUGCACUUACUGGUCAAGAUUGAUGACUCUCUCGUCGUCCCCGUCAACAGAAGGAGCUGAAGAAGAAAAGGAAUAG